rnacentral:ribozyme from 1 species
UGCCCAACAACUCCUAUCCCUACCUCCUCGCGGUACCGGCCGGAAACUAUGAGCAACCUUAGGGAAGAUCGGGUAACCAACCCCGGUGGGAACUUUAGUCAUAGGCUGACAGGGAAGG